rnacentral:rRNA from 1 species
UGCCAGCCGCCGCGGUAAUACGGAGGGUCCAAGCGUUAUCCGGAUUUAUUGGGUUUAAAGGGUCCGUAGGCGGGAGAAUAAGUCAGUGGUGAAAGCCUGCAGCUUAACUGCAGAACUGCCAUUGAAACUGUUUUUCUUGAAUAUAGAUGAAGUGGGCGGAAUAUAUCAUGUAGCGGUGAAAUGCAUAGAUAUGAUAUAGAACACCGAUUGCGAAGGCAGCUCACUAAGCUACGAUUGACGCUGAGGCACGAAAGCGCGGGGAGCGAACAGGAUUAGAUA